UGGGGAAUUUUGGACAAUGGGCGAAAGCCUGAUCCAGCAAUGCCGCGUGCGUGAAGAAGGCCUUCGGGUUGUAAAGCACUUUUUGUCCGGAAAGAAAUCCUUGGCUCUAAUACAGUCGGGGGAUGACGGUACCGGAAGAAUAAGCACCGGCUAACUACGUGCCAGCAGCCGCGGUAAUACGUAGGGUGCAAGCGUUAAUCGGAAUUACUGGGCGUAAAGCGUGCGCAGGCGGUUUGCUAAGACCGAUGUGAAAUCCCCGGGCUCAACCUGGGAACUGCAUUGGUGACUGGCAGGCUAGAGUAUGGCAGAGGGGGGUAGAAUUCCACGUGUAGCAGUGAAAUGCGUAGAGAUGUGGAGGAAUACCGAUGGCGAAGGCAGCCCCCCUGGGCCAAUACUGACGCUCAUGCACGAAAGCGUGGGGAGCAAACAGGAUUAGAUACCCUGGUAGUCCACGCCCUAAAACGAUGUCAACUAGUUGUUGGGGAUUCAUUUCCUUAGUAACGUAGCUAACGCGUGAAGUUGACCGCCUGGGGAGUAC
rnacentral:rRNA from 1 species